rnacentral:rRNA from 1 species
AUUGAACGCUGGCGGCAUGCCUUACACAUGCAAGUCGAACGGUAACGGGCCUUCGGGUGCCGACGAGUGGCGAACGGGUGAGUAAUACAUCGGAACGUGCCCGAUCGUGGGGGAUAACGAGGCGAAAGCUUUGCUAAUACCGCAUACGAUCUACGGAUGAAAGCAGGGGACCGCAAGGCCUUGCGCGGACGGAGCGGCCGAUGGCAGAUUAGGUAGUUGGUGGGAUAAAAGCUUACCAAGCCGACGAUCUGUAGCUGGUCUGAGAGGAUGAUCAGCCACACUGGGACUGAGACACGGCCCAGACUCCUACGGGAGGCAGCAGUGGGGAAUUUUGGACAAUGGGCGCAAGCCUGAUCCAGCCAUGCCGCGUGUAGGAUGAAGGCCUUCGGGUUGUAAACUGCUUUUGUACGGAACGAAAAGCCUUCUUUUAAUACAGGAGGGUCAUGACGGUACCGUAAGAAUAAGCACCGGCUAACUACGUG